UGUAAUUGUCAUUAUUACACACAUAUAUCUAUUUUUAUAUAUAAUUAAUUUAUGUAAAUCGUCAGUUUAAUCGCUAUCUGCUUUUUUGGUCCUCUUUUUUGAAAAAUCAUAAUCGGUCGACCUCUUGUCUUGAUGCUGUCUGUGUCAUAUGGGUAAGUAAAUUAAUUUAUUGUUUGCCCCUUUAUCAGAGCUCGCAUGGAUCACAUCUCCACUGUACCAUCCGGGAUGCUGACAUUUAAGUUUUAUGUGCACACAUUUUUCAUCCAUUCCAAUAAAGGGACUUGCUUAUAUGUACAGAUAGUAAUAAUAUCUUAGUUUGUACACGUUUUGCAGAUAUUAAGAGCUCAUCAACUAACUGGAUAUCCUGCAGCCAGCCUUUCACUGAGCCUGCCAUAUUGAAGUCCAAGUUCGGCACAGAGACCGACUAUCAGCUACUUCUAUUGGACAAAUUAGAUCCACCCGCUGCUGUUGCAGGAGCGCCGUGCAGUUUGGCUACUACGUCACACCCCCACUGUGCCCACAGACAGCCACACCCCCGGAGACUACACAGCCACAGAUGACACAACAGUUUUCUACAACCAUCCAUCUCCCCACCACCAGCUAUAAUAACCCGGAGGCCCGUCAUUGUUACUCCUUUCCCCUAGCGGGGUUUCGAUGACAGCUUCCCAGGGCUACUUGUCAUCACUAUCGGGCUCCGAGGAGCAUUCCUCGGAGAUGAGGCCAUACCCCAAACUAUUUAAUAAAAUGCCAUAUUGCGUUCCGUCUCUGUUGUUCAUUCAGUUGAGCCUACACUCGAUUGAACAAUAAUUGUGUGAUGGUGGGGAUGCCGGGUUGUGUUCCAAACUUAACAACUACAAGUGUGCCUGCUCUAGUUCCUCAAGGGCACAGCUAGGAUAGCUAAAAAAAAUGCACCUUAUAGUUGAAGACUCUUCUUUGAGUCAUAAAAGU